rnacentral:lncRNA from 1 species
CUGAAAUGAUGCCCUGGAUAUGGCAAAAUUCUGUACCCAGGAGACCCACGGGGCAAGGCCAGUGCCCUGGGCCUAGUUAGAACAGUCGGCCAGAACUUGGCAAGAGGCCCAGGGGAAGGCAUGUGUGUGCUGUGGACCUGAAGCCUGUCCCCUAUUUGCCCUCCCAGCAACCCCGGGAGGUGCCAAGGGGCUGCUGAGCCUGUUCUAUGACAGAUGCCCUCCCUUGGCCUGGCAGGUGAGCACAGGCGACUGAGCCCGCACAGGUCCCCUUACAGGCAGUGGUCACCCAUGGCCACAAGUGCGCUCCCCAGUCUCCAGCGAUCCCUGUAGCCCCUCUAGGACCUGCCUCCUGCCUGAUCUGAGCAUGACUCCACCUCCUGCUCCCACUCACCUGGACAUGUUCCUAAAGCUGCCCAUUCUCCAGUGAGUUGGAUUAAGGGGUGAGAAAAGAGGGAAGGGGAGACGCCACCUGGCUUAUGCCAGACCCUGGGCCUCCCCUCCUCCCACAUCCGUCAGUUACCAAGUUCCAAGUCCCAUCCACUCUUCCCUGGUCCAUUUCCCUCCAUCCCCCCAGCCACUGCCAAUCCAGGUCACCACUGUCACUCAGUUGGAUUCCUCAGCAGCCCCUAACUGGUCCCCUGGAGGUGGCCAUGCCCCCUUCCAUCCCUUCUUACCGCUGCAAAUGCAAACUUGGCUGUUUUGCACAUCCUGGGUUUGAAUUCUGUCUCCAUCACUUCCCAGCUAUGUGACCUUGAGCAAGUUACUCAACCUCUCCAUGCCUCUGACUCCUCUACCAAGAGGGGAUAAUAACAUACCUACCUCCCUGGAACUGUGCUGUGAGGCCUCAAUGGAAACCAAGCAAAGCACUUAGAACCCUGCCUGCCUAAGUGUUAGUAAUGGCUGCCCAGACCACCUGUCCAGCGGUUAGAGCUCAGGACCCAUGUGACAGGCUCUGAAGCUGCAGCCCCACAACGGAUGGCUACCUCUGCACAGGGAAAGACCUGGAUGCUCUAUUCAUUCAACAGAAUACAGAAGGCACUGGGAAUAGAGUGAACAAUGACAACCAAUGCACAGCUGCCCACAAGGUGGGCUCCUGGGGGAGGGUCAUCCCUCUGAGAAGAGGGCGGCACCAAGACCCACACACCUGAAAAAUGUGGUACUUCAUGUCGCUGAUCUCGAUGGUCUUGCUGCUGUCCCCAUCCUGUUCUGAUUUAUUGGUCAUUAGUGUCUUGAACCUGGAGCAAAGGAGACAAAGCAAGGUGGGUUUUGAACCUUUUACUUCACCACUGUGUGGCGAUGGCACCAU